rnacentral:lncRNA from 1 species
AAUAUACGAGUAACUUUAUCGGGUUUCAUAGCGAUACCUUCAACAGAGACAAUGUGUUCCAAUAGCUUUCCCAAUGGUACGCCAAAUUGACACUUCUCCAAAUUUUGAGAUAUUCCAUACUUGUCGCAUUGAUUCAAACAGUUAUCCAAGCAUAUUAGAUAUUCAGCCAUUGUGCUAAAGAUGCAGAAAUCGUCCAAAAAUAUCU